rnacentral:rRNA from 1 species
CCGCGUGAGUGAUGAAGGCCUUAAGGGGUUGUAAAGGCUACUUUCGGUCGGGGACGGAUGAUGACGGUACCCGCAGAAGAAGCCCCGGCUAACUUCGUGC